UACGGGGGGGGCAAGCGUUGUUCGGAAUUACUGGGCGUAAAGGGCUCGUAGGCGGCCAACUAAGUCAGACGUGAAAUCCCUCGGCUUAACCGGGGAACUGCGUCUGAUACUGGAUGGCUUGAGGUUGGGAGAGGGAUGCGGAAUUCCAGGUGUAGCGGUGAAAUGCGUAGAUAUCUGGAGGAACACCGGUGGCGAAGGCGGCAUCCUGGACCGGUAUUGACGCUGAGGCGCGAAAGCCAGGGGAGCAAAGCGGG
rnacentral:rRNA from 1 species